UACGAAGGGGGCUAGCGUUGCUCGGAAUCACUGGGCGUAAGCGCACGUAGGCGGCUUACUAAGUCAGGGGUGAAAUCCUGGAGCUCAACUCCAGAACUGCCUUUGAUACUGGUGAGCUUGAGUCCGGAAGAGGUGAGUGGAACUGCGAGUGUAGAGGUGAAAUUCGUAGAUAUUCGCAAGAACACCAGUGGCGAAGGCGGCUCACUGGUCCGGUACUGACGCUGAGGUGCGAAAGCGUGGGGAGCAAACAGG
rnacentral:rRNA from 1 species